UGAUAAAGUGAAUCAGCUUAUUGUCAUUUCUGUCAUAUGAGAAGUAGAAUUUGUCAGGUUGGGUGUUCUGCUAUCAAUGUGAACAAAUCCACAAAGUGGUCCCUAGUUGGGGCCACCAGGCACGUGUGUGAGUUUGUGUUUGUAUGUGCAGAAGGAAGAGAUGCAGUGUGCCCUGCUCUUGAGAGGGUGCUGGAGAAUGGUAGGUUCCAGAGCAGGAGGCCUUUGAAAAAAUGAGAUACUUGCUUGGUCCAGGAUUGAAAAGAUACCGGGUCUUAAAUAAAUACCUUACCUUUGGCAUUUGUAUAGGACAAGUCAUUUAAGAAGGGCACCAUUACCUGGUCAGUAGCAAGUUAUUGGGGAAUCCUUGGUAAACUAAGCUAAUUUGGUGGUUGGAAAUACAUAGGAAAAAUUAAACAACAGAAGUGUAUUACUUGGGCUGGGGAUGUGGCUCAAGCGGUAGCGCGCUCGCCUGGCAUGCGUGCGGCCUGGGUUCGAUCCUCAGCACCACAUACAAAUAAAGAUGUUGUGUCUGCCGAAAACUAAAAAAUAAAUAUUAAAAAAUCCCCCCCUCAUUAAAAAAAAUUUUAAAAAGUGUAUUACUUUUAAGAGAAGAAUUAGGGACGUGCAUGAUAAAUACGUGCAGUUUUUUUGUUUAAAACUUAUUCAUAAACUUAUGAUUUCAUUUCAUGGUGUCUCAGUUGUAUUACAAAUAAUAUUUAAGAGCUCCUAGGAAAAAAAAACUAGAAAAAUAUUUCUUCUCAAAUGUGUUUCAGUGUAGGGAAAAUUAAAGUAAUGCCAAAAGACCAUAUUAUUUCAGGACUGCCACAGUCUGAAAGGCAAGGGGUGUCUUCAUUGCAUAUGUGCAGAGACUUGGAUCUGAGAGGUGGCAACUUGUCCACAUGACAAGGCAAGGUUGUAAUAAUGGUUGGAGCAAGACUUGGAGUUUUACCUUUUGAUCUGUUUUGUGUUAUACAACCGUAGGAGAAAAACCCCAUGUAUGUUUCCAUAUAUAAAAAACAACUUUUGCAUUCCUUCAGAUUUUAAACAAAGAAAAAGCAAAUGGUAUUGUUUCCUAAUUCUUCGAUAUGUUGAACUUGAACAAAUCCAGUCAAUUUCUUGGGGCUAGAAUAUGUAGUCUUUUCAAAAUGUGGGGAAAGAAAAUUUAAAAGGCCACAACUCCGAAAAUAAAGUUUUUUUU
rnacentral:lncRNA from 1 species